rnacentral:tRNA from 3 species
CGGGGCGUGGCGCAGCCUGGUAGCGCACUUGCAUGGGGUGCAAGGGGUCGAAGGUUCGAAUCCUUUCGCCCCGACCA